rnacentral:rRNA from 1 species
CAGCAGCCGCGGUAAUACGGAGGAUCCAAGCGUUAUCCGGAAUCAUUGGGUUUAAAGGGUCCGUAGGCGGUCUUAUAAGUCAGUGGUGAAAUCUCCCCGCUCAACGGGGAAACGGCCAUUGAUACUGUAGGACUUGAAUUAUUAGGAAGUAACUAGAAUAUGUAGUGUAGCGGUGAAAUGCUUAGAGAUUACAUGGAAUACCAAUUGCGAAGGCAGGUUACUACUAAUGGAUUGACGCUGAUGGACGAAAGCGUGGGUAGCGAACAGGAUUAGAUACCCUGGUAGUCCACGCCGUAAACGAUGGAUACUAGCUGUUGGGAGCAAUCUCAGUGGCUAAGCGAAAGUGAUAAGUAUCCCACCUGGGGAGUACGUUCGCAAGAAUGAAACUCAAAGGAAUUGACGG